rnacentral:lncRNA from 1 species
GUGUGAUUUCGACAGGCAUAACCAAGAUGGUGACGGAUGCUCUGCUGUGGUUUAGAGUUCUGUCCAUGUCUCGAGACGCUCCUUCCUGUCCAGGGCCUCGGAGGCAGGUGUGGGCGGUCCUCAACCCAAAGUUCCACAUUCAAGAUGGAGUCGGUGGUUUUCCGCUGAAAGCAAAGCGAUGGUUUCCUGUUCAGACGGCAGUUUUGCGGCAUUGCUGUUGCCGCCACUGCUGAUGCUGCUGCUUGUGUUCUUGCUUCUUCUUCAUUGUCAACAUCAACAUCAUCAGUAAAAAGAGUUUGCAUCAUGGCUGUAGCUGUGACACUGAUGACCUUGGGGAUCCUGUGUUUCACCUCAAAUACCCAAGAGUCUGAAAACGUCCCGGUGAACUUCAUGGAGCACAUCGAUGCUGCUGUGGGGGAAAACGUGAGCCUGCCAUGUGUGUUAAAUAGCUCUGAUGACAUUGUGGUCCAGAUUGAGUGGAAGAAAAUGGAGGGGAAAAGUGAGAGCAAGUUGCUGGUCUACAACCCUAUAAAGGAUAAAGUGUCGAAGAUCAGAGCCAACGUUUCACUGAAGACAGAAAAGAUCAAUGGUGAACUGAGUGGAUCCCAUCUAUUGCUGCCCACAGUGGACUUGUGGGACAGUGGACAGUACGUGUGUGAACUCAACACCUUCCCUCUAGGGUCCAUCAAGAGAGUGAUGCAGCUGCUGGUAACAGACGUCCCAGAUCCUGACUCUCCCCCUGAGCUUCAGCUGUCUGCCAGUGUGAUGGGACAUGGUCAGGGAGUGAGGGAAGGUGACCAGCUGAAGAUCCUAUGUACCAGCAGCCCUCCAGCAGACCACUACACCCUCUGGCCUUCAGAAAACAACAAAUCCCUUCAGAUAAGCCACGAUGGGGUUUUCAUAUUUUCAAACGUGACGAGGAAUAACAGCGGUUUGUACACUUGCCAGCCAAAGUGGGAUGUGUCCACUCAUCCUUUCCAAGGUCGUUACACCACGGUCAUGGUCACAAUCCAUUGUGAGUGUUUUCCUGUCUCAGUCAGACACACUUCUGUUGGAAUUGUUUCCCUCAGUCAGUUGACUCAUCCGCAUGAUGUUAC